AACAAGUGUCGUGCCGAUUUAAUGCGCCUCUUGUUGCACAAAUACAUCUUUAAUGUUAUAGUAGUAUGAAAAGAGCCAUUUAUAAGGACCCUUCAGUUCCAGAAUUCCUCGCCCGUCCAAUUCCUCGCGGUAUGUUCGAAAAACAAAAACAAAUUACAUGGGCCUCGUUCAGCGAAGUUCGAAACAAAAUAGCCGAAACAAAUUCUACCUACGCUCGGCUACUGCCGAGGGCUUCACGAAGUUCGUUCUUCAUAUUUGUUAUUGUUUUCGAUCUACGUUCGGAGUAGCGGUUGCGAGAAUUCGUAAAUUAGAGAGAGAUGGAGAUGGAAGGAAGGGAGGAAAGAAAAUUGGUGUCAAAAACAAAGAGUAUUGCACCGACGUGAGAAUGACCUUUUUAAAAUAAGUAGAGUUAUUUAAAAAUAUUUAAGAUUAUAUUUAAUUAAUUUUUACGUAUAAAAUCGUGUGGGAUAUGAGCACGUAAGAAAAUGUGCUUUAGACAUGGCCGAAAUGUUCAUGUUUGAUUAUUGGCCCUUUGUGAAUCUAAUUGCAAGGCAUUGCCUUGUCGGCUAUACCCUGACACGCGCGAGAAUUUUCGGUCUUCGGUUUUGUCUUCUAAUUCUCUUUGCAUUUAGAGUUGACUGCUGUUGCAUUCAGAUGUGUUUUGCGUAUAGUUGCGUAAAAAUGAAAUAUUAUAAGGUAAGUGGAACUUAUUUGCAUUCAAUUAUUAAUUUUAAUUGCAGAAUUGACGAUUAAAAUGGAUGCGACUUCAACCUAGACGGUGUGAAUGGGAUUCAGUACGGAUUUACAAAGUUUUUUUAUCCAGUUUAAGUUGAUAAAACAAGUUUCUUAAAGGACCCAGCAGCCGGCAAAGGAGACUCGUGACACGCACUUAUGUACAUACAUAUGUACAUAUGUAUGUACAUAUGUACAUAUGUAUACAUGUUUAAUUUUGGAGAACAAUUUAAUGCUACCAAAAAAGUGAAGAUAAAUAAAAACAUGCAAUCCAUAAAUAAAUAAGGAAUAAAUUA